rnacentral:rRNA from 1 species
UGCCAGCAGCCGCGGUAAUACUGAGGGUGCAAGCGUUACUCGGAAUCACUGGGCGUAAAGAGCGUGUAGGCGGCUUUGUAAGUCGGAUGUGAAAGCCCUGGGCUCAACCUGGGAAUUGCAUUCGAUACUGCAUGGCUAGAGUAUGGUAGAGGGAAGUGGAAUUUCCGGUGUAGCGGUGAAAUGCGUAGAUAUCGGAAGGAACACCGGUGGCGAAGGCGACUUCCUGGGCCAAUACUGACGCUGAGGCGCGAAAGCGUGGGUAGCAAACAGGAUUAGAUA